GCGAAGGCUGGAUCAGGCUUGACGACGCGGGAGGAAAGAGUGGGACAGCCCGUGACCCAUAGAGCCAGAGAAGCAGGAGUGCGUGAGUGGCAGUGGAGGAGAAACACAGAGAAAGGGGCAGCCUGGCAAAAUAGGAGGGCAGCCACAGCAUGUGUGGAAGCUGGGAAAGGAAAAUAG
rnacentral:lncRNA from 1 species